GAUCUUCUCCUUCAUGGGAGAUGAUUGAAAGAUGGUUUCGGCUAUCACUUACAGAUGGGCCCGCGGUGCAUUAGCUAGUUGGUGAGGUAACGGCUCACCAAGGCAACGAUGCAUAGCCGACCUGAGAGGGUGAUCGGCCACACUGGGACUGAGACACGGCCCAGACUCCUACGGGAGGCAGCAGUAGGGAAUCUUCCGCAAUGGACGAAAGUCUGACGGAGCAACGCCGCGUGAGUGAUGAAGGCUUUCGGGUCGUAAAACUCUGUUGUUAGGGAAGAACAAGUACAAGAGUAACUGCUUGUACCUUGACGGUACCUAACCAGAAAGCCACGGCUAACUACCGUGCCAGGCAGCCGCGGUAAUACGUAGGUGGCAAGCGUUAUCCGGAAUUAUUGGGCGUAAAGCGCCGGCGCAGGCGGUAUUCUUAAGUUCUGAUGUGAAAGCCCACGGCUCAACCGUGGAGGGUCAUUGGAAACUGGGGAACUUGAGUGCAGAAGAGAAAAGGCCGGAAUUCCACGUGUAGCGGUGAAAUGCGUAGAGAUGUGGAGGAACACCAGUGGCGAAGGCGGCUUUUUGGUCUGUAACUGACGCU
rnacentral:rRNA from 2 species